rnacentral:misc_RNA from 1 species
GAUGAAGAACGCAGCGAAAUGCGAUAAGUAAUGUGAAUUGCAGAAUUCAGUGAAUCAUCGAAUCCUUGAACGCACAUUGCGCCCGGCAGUACUCUGCCGGGCAUGCCUGUUCGAGCGUCAUUUCAACCCUCAAGCCCUGCUUGGUGUUGGGGCCCCACGGCUGCCGUGGGCCCUGAAAGGAAGUGGCGGGCUCGCUACAACUCCGAGCGUAGUAAUUCAUUAUCUCGCUUAGGGCGUUGGGCGGCGCUCCAGCCGUUAAAGAACCAUCUUUAACUCAAGGUUGACCUCGGAUCAGGUAGGAAUACCCGCUGAACUUAAGCAUAUCAAUAAGCGGAGGA